UAGGUUGGGAAAAAGACAUCAUCCCUUGAGGUAAAAUUAUGUUUGCUUCCUUUUACUCCCAAAAUCUUUUUACCGUGGGUAAAAGGAAUCAUCAUGGGUUAUAAAAGGAAUCAAAUUUAAAUUUAACUCAAGGGGUCUUGAUGUCGUUUUCCCCAACAGG
rnacentral:pre_miRNA from 1 species